rnacentral:rRNA from 1 species
GGGUUGUGAGGUUAAGCGACUAAGCGUACACGGUGGAUGCCCUGGCAGUCAGAGGCGAUGAAGGACGUGCUAAUCUGCGAAAAGCGUCGGUAAGGUGAUAUGAACCGUUAUAACCGGCGAUGUCCGAAUGGGGAAACCCAGUGCAAUUCGUUGCACUAUCGUUAACUGAAUACAUAGGUUAACGAGGCGAACCGGGGGAACUGAAACAUCUAAGUACCCCGAGGAAAAGAAAUCAACCGAGAUUCCCCCAGUAGCGGCGAGCGAACGGGGAGCAGCCCAGAGUCUGAAUCAGCUUGUGUGUUAGUGGAACGGUCUGGAAAGUCCGACGGUACAGGGUGAUAGUCCCGUACACCAAAAUGCACAGGUUGUGAACUCGAAGAGUAGGGCGGGACACGUGGUAUCCUGUCUGAAUAUGGGGGGACCAUCCUCCAAGGCUAAAUACUCCUGACUGACCGAUAGUGAACCAGUACCGUGAGGGAAAGGCGAAAAGAACCCCGGCGAGGGGAGUGAAAAAGAACCUGAAACCGUGUACGUACAAGCAGUGGGAGCACCUUCGGGUGUGACUGCGUACCUUUUGUAUAAUGGGUCAGCGACUUAUAUUCUGUAGCAAGGUUAACCGUAUAGGGGAGCCGCAGGGAAACCGAGUCUUAACUGGGCGUUAAGUUGCAGGGUAUAGACCCGAAACCCGGUGAUCUAGCCAUGGGCAGGUUGAAGGUUGGGUAACACUAACUGGAGGACCGAACCGACUAAUGUUGAAAAAUUAGCGGAUGACUUGUGGCUGGGGGUGAAAGGCCAAUCAAACCGGGAGAUAGCUGGUUCUCCCCGAAAGCUAUUUAGGUAGCGCCUCGUGAACUCAUCUUCGGGGGUAGAGCACUGUUUCGGCUAGGGGGUCAUCCCGACUUACCAACCCGAUGCAAACUACGAAUACCGAAGAAUGUUAUCACGGGAGACACACGGCGGGUGCUAACGUCCGUCGUGAAGAGGGAAACAACCCAGACCGCCAGCUAAGGUCCCAAAGUCAUGGUUAAGUGGGAAACGAUGUGGGAAGGCACAGACAGCCAGGAUGUUGGCUUAGAAGCAGCCAUCAUUUAAAGAAAGCGUAAUAGCUCACUGGUCGAGUCGGCCUGCGCGGAAGAUGUAACGGGGCUAAACCAUGCACCGAAGCUGCGGCAGCGACACUAUGUGUUGUUGGGUAGGGGAGCGUUCUGUAAGCCUGCGAAGGUGACCUGUGAGGGUUGCUGGAGGUAUCAGAAGUGCGAAUGCUGACAUAAGUAACGAUAAAGCGGGUGAAAAGCCCGCUCGCCGGAAGACCAAGGGUUCCUGUCCAACGUUAAUCGGGGCAGGGUGAGUCGACCCCUAAGGCGAGGCCGAAAGGCGUAGUCGAUGGGAAACAGGUUAAUAUUCCUGUACUUGGUGUUACUGCGAAGGGGGGACGGAGAAGGCUAUGUUAGCCGGGCGACGGUUGUCCCGGUUUAAGCAUGUAGGCUGAUUGUCCAGGCAAAUCCGGAUAAUCAAGGCUGAGGUGUGAUGACGAGGCACUACGGUGCUGAAGUAACAAAUGCCCUGCUUCCAGGAAAAGCCUCUAAGCAUCAGGUAACAUUAAAUCGUACCCCAAACCGACACAGGUGGUCAGGUAGAGAAUACCAAGGCGCUUGAGAGAACUCGGGUGAAGGAACUAGGCAAAAUGGUGCCGUAACUUCGGGAGAAGGCACGCUGGUGUGUAGGUGAAGUCCCUGCGGAUGGAGCUGAGACCAGUCGAAGAUACCAGCUGGCUGCAACUGUUUAUUAAAAACACAGCACUGUGCAAACACGAAAGUGGACGUAUACGGUGUGACGCCUGCCCGGUGCCGGAAGGUUAAUUGAUGGGGUUAUCCGUAAGGAGAAGCUCUUGAUCGAAGCCCCGGUAAACGGCGGCCGUAACUAUAACGGUCCUAAGGUAGCGAAAUUCCUUGUCGGGUAAGUUCCGACCUGCACGAAUGGCGUAAUGAUGGCCAGGCUGUCUCCACCCGAGACUCAGUGAAAUUGAACUCGCUGUGAAGAUGCAGUGUACCCGCGGCAAGACGGAAAGACCCCGUGAACCUUUACUAUAGCUUGACACUGAACAUUGAGCCUUGAUGUGUAGGAUAGGUGGGAGGCUUUGAAGCGUGGACGCCAGUCUGCGUGGAGCCAACCUUGAAAUACCACCCUUUAAUGUUUGAUGUUCUAACGUUGGCCCCUGACCGGGGUUGCGGACAGUGUCUGGUGGGUAGUUUGACUGGGGCGGUCUCCUCCCAAAGCGUAACGGAGGAGCACGAAGGUUAGCUAAUCCUGGUCGGACAUCAGGAGGUUAGUGCAAUGGCAUAAGCUAGCUUGACUGCGAGCGUGACGGCGCGAGCAGGUGCGAAAGCAGGUCAUAGUGAUCCGGUGGUUCUGAAUGGAAGGGCCAUCGCUCAACGGAUAAAAGGUACUCCGGGGAUAACAGGCUGAUACCGCCCAAGAGUUCAUAUCGACGGCGGUGUUUGGCACCUCGAUGUCGGCUCAUCACAUCCUGGGGCUGAAGUAGGUCCCAAGGGUAUGGCUGUUCGCCAUUUAAAGUGGUACGCGAGCUGGGUUUAGAACGUCGUGAGACAGUUCGGUCCCUAUCUGCCGUGGGCGCUGGAGAAUUGAGGGGGGCUGCUCCUAGUACGAGAGGACCGGAGUGGACGCAUCACUGGUGUUCGGGUUGUCAUGCCAAUGGCACUGCCCGGUAGCUAAAUGCGGAAGAGAUAAGUGCUGAAAGCAUCUAAGCACGAAACUUGCCCCGAGAUGAGUUCUCCCUGAGACUAUAAGUCUCCUGAAGGAACGUUAAAGACGAUGACGUUGAUAGGCCGGGUGUGUAAGCGCAGCGAUGCGUUGAGCUAACCGGUACUAAUGAACCGUGAGGCUUAACCUUACAACGCCGAAG